UUGUUUUAAAAUGAUAAUUCGAUGCUCUUGUGUACUCCUUAUGGGUUUGUACUAUUGCACCCUGACCUUCCGGUGCACUCUCCCCCUCCCCCAUUUUUUUAUUCCCGAGUUUAGCUUUAAUCCAAUUCUUCCUCCGUCGAACUCACCUGGGUUCCACCUGGAGAUAUCAACAUGAAGAAGUUUUGCUCAGUAAAUUCUAGUUGAUCAUAUUAUUUCAUCGCAAGCAUACGCUGGAAUGAAAAUGUGGAGGAUCUUUCUUUCUUUCUCCCUCUCUCCCUCUCUCUCUUUCUCUCCCUCUCUCUCUACCCUUUACCUUUUUUAAAAUGAUGAACUUCUGAUCUUCGUGGAUCUAUUUGCAUAUGAAUGAAUGAAUGCUUCCACCGCUGCAUAAUUCUGCACUGGCUGUUCGGCUGUUCUCGUGCCUUGACUCUCCUUCUCUAUCUGGAGAGCCUGGCUGGCCUGUGGCGAAGUGGACUUGAAGGUCAGGUGGAAGGAGCAACUCAAGAUCCGACAAGCAGUUCUCCUGCGGGGCGGCUCCCUAGGAAAGCGGGGGGUGGCAGGGCGGGGAGUUCAAACGCGGUGGAGGCUUCGGGUUAAGGAGAGAUGAAGGUGAAGAUCACGCCGAGGUUUGUUACGCUCUGUGGCAAUUUUGGCUGGCUUUUGGGUGAGUGGGCCUCGAAAGCGGAGUUCCUGCUGUCCUCCACCCGGACAAAUUGUCCUGGACUUCACAACAGACGGAUGAGAAAAAGAAAGAAAGAAAGAAAGAAAGAAAGAAAGAAAGAAAGAAAGAAAGAAAGAAAGAAAGAAAGAAAGAAAGAAGCCCUGCCAGAAGAUUUCAGGAAGCCAUCCUAGAAGCAGGACAUUUCACAACUUGCAAGAAGACUAAAGACUGUGCUGAGUGUCAAAGGAGGAGAGGAGAGUCAAGGUGUCGAAAAGCCAAGAUAAUCUUUACACCAAUGCAAUCUUUUGUUUGCCUUUUGAAGUGGGCAGGCGGCGGGAGGAAUUACCUGUAGUGAAGAGAGAGGCCAAAGAAUGGAACUUGCUUGGUCGUCCGGCUCCUUCGUCCUGUUCCUAGUUGGGUUGUUGUGAAGAUCAAGUGGGAAGAAGAGUCAUGAGGGCUGCCUUGAGUUCCUCGAUGGAAAAACAGGCUAUCCAUAUAACAAAUAAAACAAUUUAAGUGCACUGUUGAGGACUGCAACAAAGCUUAUGGCAAAUAAUAGAGGUGCAACAAAAAUUUCUC